GUCAACUACCCCGCCCUAAAGGACGGAGCUUGUCAAACUAGGUUGACCAGACUCAGAUGCUCGCAAGAGCAGCUACGCUGACCAGAGGUCGUUAAGACUUACCCGUGGAUGCUUCCUGAGUCCACUGCUCUAAAAGGUUAGAAUUACGCUGGGGAAAGGUAAAGCCCCGAAAGUUUUAACCGCUACUAGCCAUAGUAGGAGCCGCUGGUAAGCUUUGUCGAAGGGAGAUGGC
rfam:Thioploca ingrica DNA, complete genome.